rnacentral:rRNA from 1 species
UACGUAGGGGGCUAGCGUUGUCCGGAAUCGUUGGGCGUAAAGAGCGUGUAGGCGGUCCGGUAAGUCCGCUGUGAAAGUCGGGGGCUCAACCCUCGAAUGCCGGUGGAUACUGUCGGGCUAGAGUGCGGAAGAGGCGAGUGGAAUUCCUGGUGUAGCGGUGGAAUGCGCAGAUAUCAGGAGGAACACCAAUAGCGAAGGCAGCUCGCUGGGACGUUACUGACGCUGAGGCGCGAAAGCGUGGGGAGCGAACAGG